UGAGCUUGAUCCUGGCUCAGGACGAACGCUGGCGGCGUGCCUAAUACAUGCAAGUCGAGCGAAUGGAGGGGAGCUUGCUCCCUGAAGUUAGCGGCGGACGGGUGAGUAACACGUGGGCAACCUGCCCUGUAGACUGGGAUAACAUCGAGAAAUCGGUGCUAAUACCGGAUAAUCAAAGGAAUCACAUGGUUCUUUUGUAAAAGAUGGCUUCGGCUAUCACUAUAGGAUGGGCCCGCGGUGCAUUAGCUAGUUGGUGGGGUAGAGGCUCACCAAGGCAACGAUGCAUAGCCGACCUGAGAGGGUGAUCGGCCACACUGGGACUGAGACACGGCCCAGACUCCUACGGGAGGCAGCAGUAGGGAAUCUUCCGCAAUGGACGAAAGUCUGACGGAGCAACGCCGCGUGAGUGAUGAAGGUUUUCGGAUCGUAAAGCUCUGUUGUUAGGGAAGAACAAGUACCGUUCGAAUAGGGCGGUACCUUGACGGUACCUAACCAGAAAGCCACGGCUAACUACGUGCCAGCAGCCGCUAGUAAAUCGUACUGC
rnacentral:rRNA from 1 species